rnacentral:rRNA from 1 species
CCUACGGGUGACAGCAGUGAGGAAUAUUGGUCAAUGGGCGGAAGCCUGAACCAGCCAAGUAGCGUGCAGGAUGACGGCCCUACGGGUUGUAAACUGCUUUUAUACGGGAAUAACGCGCCUUACGUGUAGGGCUUUGCAUGUACCGUAUGAAUAAGGACCGGCUAAUUCCGUGCCAGCAGCCGCGGUAAUACGGAAGGUCCGGGCGUUAUCCGGAUUUAUUGGGUUUAAAGGGAGCGUAGGCCGCAUGUCAAGCGUGCUGUAAAAUGUCCGGGCUCAACCCGGGCCUUGCAGCGCGAACUGGCGUGCAUGAGUCCGCGGAAAGCAGGCGGAAUUCGUCGUGUAGCGGUGAAAUGCUUAGAUAUGACGAAGAACCCCGAUUGCGAAGGCAGCUUGCUGCAGCGGAACUGACGCUGAUGCUCGAAAGCGCGGGUAUCGAACAGGAUUAGAUACCCGAGUAGUC